CAGCUCUCUCCCAAUUUCUCUCCCUCAAAAAAACUCGAUUAGGAUCAACUCUCUUCCCAAUCUCUCUUUCCCAUUCCAUUCAUUCUCUCCCAAAUCAUCCUUUUCUCCCUCAAUUUUCUUUCUCUUAUUCUCUCCAAACCUAAAUUGAGAUCUUCUCAAAGUUCACUCCGGCACUGUUGAACUCUGACACCGUCUAACCUCUCCAACGCCAAUGAAUUUUAACUCUUCAUCAAGAGAGGACUGGAGCUAGUUAUGGUUGAUCAUAGCCUGAAAUAUACAAGUCGGCCACUUUAGGGCGUAUAAUUGCCUAGGUAGGCUAAGUCAGUUUUCUCACAUGCUCGAGGCUACAGUGGAUAAAACUCAAUUGAGCACUAUUCAAUGCAUUAAUGGAUAGAUGGAGGCCAGAGACGAACACUUUUCAUCUACGUGUCGGCAAGUCGACUAUUACUCUCCAAGAUAGACGCUAUGGAUGAUAUAGAGGGGAUUGCAAAUGAGGGCAUAGCUACCACAAGAGGAGAUUACGUACAUGUAUCAGUAUUGUAGCAGAUAGUGCGGAGGGUUCGUAGAGCUCUUCAUCGAACUCAUAAGGAUCGACAUGAUGGUCGUGAGUAGAUGGCGUAUGAGGGGGAUGUCUUAUAUGCAUGUCAACGAAGACAAGGUGGAUCUUGCUCUGACAAUGAAGGUAGUUCGUCAUAGUCCCACACGCAACCGAAGAGCGAGCAUGUACAAGUUUAACUCGAAGGAGGACGUCGAUGAUCUAAACGGGUACGAAGAGGGAGACAACGAGGGAGGGAAAGACUUUUAGAUUGUAUGUGGUUUUAUUGGUUUUUCUGUUUAUACUCUAUUUGUAACUAAAUAUACUUGAUACAUUUGGAUUUGUUGAGAGUGUUUGGGCGUAUGGAUAUG